rnacentral:rRNA from 1 species
GGGUCAGUAGGUUGGUCGUGCCACCGGUACGUACUGGUCUCACUGAUUCCUCCUUCCUGGAGAGCCGUAAUGCCAUUAAUUUGGUGUUGCGGGGAAACAGGACUGUUACUUUGAAAAAAUUAGAGUGUUUAAAGCAAGCUAACGCUUGAAUACAUUAGCAUGGAAUAAUGAAAUAGGACGAUCGAUCCUAUUUUGUUGGUUUCUAGGAUUGACGUA